GACGAACCGUGCGAACGUUAUUCGGAUUCACUGGGCUUAAAGGGCGCGUAGGCGGACUCGCCAGUCCGGGGUGAAAUCUUUCGGCUUAACCGGAAAAGUGCCUUGGAUACUGCGAGUCUUGAGGAAGGUAGGGGCAUGUGGAACUUCCGGUGUAGCGGUGAAAUGCGUAGAUAUCGGAAGGAACACCUGUGGCGAAAGCGGCUCACUGGACCAUUACUGACGCUGAGGCACGAAAGCUAGGGGAGCAAACAGG
rnacentral:rRNA from 1 species